GACGAACGCUGGCGGCGUGCUUAACACAUGCAAGUCGAACGGAAAGGCCCUGCUUUUGUGGGGUGCUCGAGUGGCGAACGGGUGAGUAACACGUGAGUAACCUGCCCUUGACUUUGGGAUAACUUCAGGAAACUGGGGCUAAUACCGGAUAGGAGCUCCUGCUGCAUGGUGGGGGUUGGAAAGUUUCGGCGGUUGGGGAUGGACUCGCGGCUUAUCAGCUUGUUGGUGGGGUAGUGGCUUACCAAGGCUUUGACGGGUAGCCGGCCUGAGAGGGUGACCGGCCACAUUGGGACUGAGAUACGGCCCAGCCUACUACGGGAGGCAGCAGUGGGGAAUAUUGCACAAUGGGCGGAAGCCUGAUGCAGCAACGCCGCGUGCGGGAUGACGGCCUUCGGGUUGUAAACCGCUUUCGCCUGUGACGAAGCGUGAGUGACGGUAAUGGGUAAAGAAGCACCGGCUAACUACGUG
rnacentral:rRNA from 1 species